GACGAACGCUGGCGGCGUGCCUAAUACAUGCAAGUAGGACGCAGUUGCGAACGGGUGAGUAACGCGUAGGUAACUACCUAUUAGAGGGGGAUAACUAUUGGAAACGAUAGCUAAUACCGCAUACUAGUAGAUGGACCUGCGUUGUAUUAGCUAGUAGGUAGGGUAAUGGCCUACCUAGGCAACGAUACAUAGCCGACCUGGGAGGGGUUUCGGCCAAACUGGGACUGAGAACCGGCCAGAACUCUAACGGGGGGCAGCAGUAGGAAAUCUUCGGCAAUGGGGGAACCCCUGACCGGGCAACGCGGCGUGAGUGAAGAAGGUUUUGGGAUGUUAAGGCUCUGUUGUUAAGAAGGCGGUACUUAACCAGAAAGGGACGGCUAACUACGUGCCAGCAGCCGCGGUAAUAC
rnacentral:rRNA from 1 species